AUUGAACGCUGGCGGCAUGCCUUACACAUGCAAGUCGAACGGUAACGGGCCUUCGGGUGCCGACGAGUGGCGAACGGGUGAGUAAUGUAUCGGAACGUACCUUUCAGUGGGGGAUAACGUAGCGAAAGUUACGCUAAUACCGCAUAUUCUGUGAGCAGGAAAGCAGGGGAUCGCAAGACCUUGUGCUGAUUGAGCGGCCGAUAUCAGAUUAGCUAGUUGGUGAGGUAAAGGCUCACCAAGGCGACGAUCUGUAGCGGGUCUGAGAGGAUGAUCCGCCACACUGGAACUGAGACACGGUCCAGACUCCUACGGGAGGCAGCAGUGGGGAAUUAUGGACAAUGGGGGCAACCCUGAUCCAGCCAUGCCGCGUGAGUGAAGAAGGCCUUCGGGUUGUAAAGCUCUUUCGGCCGGGAAGAAAUCGUAUCAGCUAAUACCUGGUGCGGAUGACGGUACCGGCAUAAGAAGCACCGGCUAACUACGUGCCAGCAGCCGCCGUAAUAC
rnacentral:rRNA from 1 species